CAUGCAGAAAGUUAGUGACUGACAGUUUCCAUUCACUUUCAUUGUAUGGAAAAAAGGUGAACGGUGACAGGCUGUCAUUCUGCCUAAUAGAACUCAUGCAGGAUUAUUACGAUGCAGCAGAUCAUGAUUGCAAUUAUAAUCAACAGAGAUCCAGCAGCAGCUGCAGCAGAGAUCAGCACUAUCAGAGAUACAGCGUCUGGAAGAACUGAAGGAGAAUAAAGAGAGACAGUCAUGAAUGAGAGAGUCACAUGACCCACAUUAACCACUGAACACACCAAUGAACAAUUCUGCUGUGAUGAUGAUGACGAAGAACACUGUGAAAAGUUUCUGCUGAUGACAGGAGCAGGCAGACGAGCUGGAAACAGAAUAAAAAGGAUUAUGGAUAAAUGUUACAGUCAGCCGGAUCCAGAUCAGAUGGUGGACCUGCACCUAUACACAACCUCAUGACGAUCCAAUGUGAAGACCUCGUCGACAUGUCAGCCAUUGGAACAGAUCCUCAGCAAAGACCACAAGAACCAGACAAGCUGCACAGACUCCUGUGGCCAGCUUUGUCUCCAUACCAGUGUGAUGAAUCCGAUAUUCAAGCAGAAGGAACUGGAUGAAAUAUUCUGAAUGCUACCGAUCUCAAUCGGACUUGUGAUGCGGGCUGAGUCAUAAUCAUACAGUGUUCGUUUGUUGGUCAGAGGAGAACUGGCUCCCCGUCCAAGGUUAUCUCCACCAAUAAAGUCUAAGCUUUGGCAUCUGGAACUCGAGUGAUUUUUGCAAUGAGGGGAAGACUAUUUCCACAGCAGCUUCAGCUGUACAAAACACCCAGAAUCCAUCAUCUUCCUGUUAUCACUGUAAAGCUGCUUCAAAAUAAUCUGUAUUGUUUAAAGUGCUAUAUAAACCUGACCUGGUAGAUUUGUUGUAUUGAAGCAUUCAGCAUUGUAGCGCAUAUCAUCUUGACCCAUUCGCUU
ensembl:lncRNA